rnacentral:rRNA from 1 species
GACGAACGCUGGCGGCGUGCUUAACACAUGCAAGUCGAACGGAAAGGCCCUGCUUUUGUGGGGUGCUCGAGUGGCGAACGGGUGAGUAACACGUGAGUAACCUGCCCUUGACUUUGGGAUAACUUCAGGAAACUGGGGCUAAUACCGGAUAGGAGCUCCUGCUGCAUGGUGGGGGUUGGAAAGUUUCGGCGGUUGGGGAUGGACUCGCGGCUUAUCAGCUUGUUGUGGGGUAGUGGCUUACCAAGGCUUUGACGGGUAGCCGGCCUGAGAGGGUGACCGGCCACAUUGGGACUGAGAUACGGCCCAGACUCCUACGGGAGGCAGCAGUGGGGAAUAUUGCACAAUGGGCGGAAGCCUGAUGCAGCAACGCCGCGUGCGGGAUGACGGCCUUCGGGUUGUAAACCGCUUUCGCCUGUGACGAAGCGAGAGUGACGGUAAUGGGUAAAGAAGCACCGGCUAACUACGUG